rnacentral:rRNA from 1 species
UGGAGCGGCAUUACUGGGCGUGCAGGGGUUAUUGGGUGAUCUGUUCCUAGAGCCGGAUCACGCUCUAUUAUGUCUGGGAAACUGCCCGAUGGAGGGGGAUAACUACUGGAAACGGUAGCUAAUACCGCAUAACGUCGCAAGACCAAAGAGGGGGACCUUCGGGCCUCUUGCCAUCGGAUGUGCCCAGAUGGGAUUAGCUAGUAGGUGGGGUAACGGCUCACCUAGGCGACGAUCCCUAGCUGGUCUGAGAGGAUGACCAGCCACACUGGAACUGAGACACGGUCCAGACUCCUACGGGAGGCAGCAGUGGGGAAUAUUGCACAAUGGGCGCAAGCCUGAUGCAGCCAUGCCGCGUGUAUGAAGAAGGCCUUCGGGUUGUAAAGUACUUUCAGCGAGGAGGAAGGUGUUGUGGUUAAUAACCGCAGCAAUUGACGUUACUCGCAGAAGAAGCACCGGCUAACUCCGUGCCAGCAGCCGCGGUAAUACGGAGGGUGCAAGCGUUAAUCGGAAUUACUGGGCGAAAACGGACGCAGGCGGUCUGUCAAGUCGGAUGUGAAACCCCGGGCUCCACCUGGGAACUGCAUCCAAAACUGGCAGGCUAAGUCUUGAAAGGGGGUAAAAUCCCGGUGUAGCGGUGAAUGCGAAAAUCCGGAGGAAUCCCGUGCGAA